rnacentral:lncRNA from 1 species
UCCCAGUCUUCCCAGCCUCCCCCAUGGACCCCCAUAGUCCCGAUUCACAACGUGUGUCCUCCCCCGGAGACGGCCGGCCCUGGUGUCCAGAACAGGAGGCACCGCAAGGGACCACGGGCCGCCCGUCCUCCUCCCCAAAGGGCGCCGGAAGCGCUUCCUUGCCUCCUUGGGGGAACGGUCGUCCCGCUGCCUUCACGGUCGUCCCCCAGGCGGCCACGGUUCCCGGUCAAGUGCUCAGGACUCCGCAGACGGGUUUCCUGCAGGUCGGGCUGCACCUAUUCCAGGGGCGCCAGGAGUCCCUUCUAUUCUCCUCGGGCUCAGAAGUGAAAGGAUGGUGUCCGUGUGGAGGCGCUGUGUUUCCCGGGUAUGAAACACGGAUACAUCUGUGUGAGAAUCACAAAGCUGACAGAUUGGUGGCUGCUGUGGCGAGGUCGACCAGAUGGCCCGACAGAAACACUGUUUCAAGUUUAUCCACAGAGUGUCCAAUUGAAGACGACCAGAGAAGGAUGUUGAAAUAAAGAACUUUCUUAACACACUGGGAAGUUGGGGAACCUCUCCUUCCAGUCACGAGGCCCUGCCCUGCAGCAGCCGACCUGGAAAACCAGACCCCAGCCCCUGCAGCAAUGGGCUCCAGGAUUCAGUGCGUGGUCAGUGACUGCCACCUUCCUUAUUUUUCUUCCUUUCUAUUUAGUACCAAAUGGGGGAAACCAAAUCUCAUCUAAGCAGUCACCUGGGACGGCCCUCUUCCUGCCAGCCUGCCUCUGGUUUCCCCACAUUACAUGCUCUGAGCAGGACACACUUUCCCUCUUUCCCACCAGAGCAUGUCCCCACUCCUCUGUGUGCCCUGAGUCUCAGCCUAGGCAAGUGGUGGUGGCUGACUCCUUGCUCUGGAGACAAAUUCUGAAGAAACAGUGAAGGAUCCAGAAAAUAUCCUGGAGUAGGAAAUGGCCACCCACUCCAGUAUUCUUGCCUGGAAAAUUCCAUGAACAGAGGAGCCUGGCUAUCUGCAGGCCAUGGGGUCACAAAGAGUCAAACACGACUGAGCAUGCACACACAGACACAGGCAUGUUUGUUUAUGUCUACAGAGCUUAGAGUGAGAACCAAAUAAAGCACUGAGGAUAAUAUGUGGGUUUUGUUAU